rnacentral:snRNA from 1 species
AUACCUUGUAGGGGAAAUACCAUGUCAUAAAAGUGGUUUUCCCAGGGGGAGGCUCAUCCAUUGCACUUUGGGUGUGUUGCUGAUCCCUAUGGUUUCCUUAAAUGUGGGGAACUCAACUGCAUAAUUUGUGCUAAUGGGGGAUUGUGUUUGUGAUUUCCCUGG